ensembl:lncRNA
AUGAAGCUCUCCAGAAGCCUGCAGCACGCACACUGGUCCCUCAGGAAUGUCCUGCCAGUCCAGCUGUCACCUCUCCGUGCAGCCACAGAUUCCCCGGGGGUGUUUGUCUGUCGUCUCAGCGUUCCCCCUGAGGUCAGAGUGACCUGCGGGUGCCUGGGCAAGCGCAGCACAGGCCGAACAUCCUCCCAGCAGAGCGAGCAUCAUCCUCCCGGCAGAGCAUCUUCCUCCUGGCAGAACGUCCUUCUCCCGGCAGAGCAUCGUUCUCCCGGCAGAACAUCCUCCGGGCAGAGCAUCCUUCUCCCGGCAGAACAUCGUUCUCCCGGCAGAACAUCGUUCUCCCGGCAGAACGUCCCUCUCCCGGCAGAGCCCCCUCCUGCCGCUCCGGCUCCCGCUCCCGGCUCUCUCCGGCAGCGCUGCCAGCCCGGCAGCUCCCCAGGCCGCGCUCCCCGUGCCCGGCCCUGCCCUCCCCUCAGCCCGGCGGACAGCCCAGGAAUUCCUCCUUCCCCUUCCCCGGCAGCAAUGUGCUCCCGGAAUUGCCGCUCCGACUCUUUGUCUUUCCAGUCUGAAUUUGCAGCGCUGCUCAGGUAACCGAGGGAAGCAGGCUGGAGUUCAAAGUGCAUAUUUACUGAUGCUAUCGGCACGGCUUCGGCGUGACUCAAAAUUUACUCAAGACAGGAAAUUCAAGGAAACUGCCGGGAGAAGCUGCAGUGAGCAGUGGCACCGAGGAGUCACUAGUGAAACGGCUCUCACAAAGGGACAGAGAAACUGAAAGAUUUCCCUUCCACUAAUAGCAUCGGUUGGCAUAUUUUAUUACCUUUUUACACAAUAAUCCAAGUCCUUCAUUAAAAUAAAUGCUGCUUUGGGUCAUGCAGCUGAUUCUCAGAGGAGCAAGAUGGCUUUUCCCUGAGCUGGCGUGGUAGACUUGAUAUCAUUGUGCUGCAUUUGCCAUGUGUCUGCCUCGUGGGUUGAGUGUUUGCUUUCCUGGGAAUAUCAAGACUCAAGAUUCGUUUUUUCAGUGCUCUCAAAUCCUAGAGGGCACCACAGAACAGCUCUGCAAACCAGGCUCGCUGUGCAACAUGGAUUUUACAGGUGUGACACUUCCUGCCUCCCUUUUCUCUUUCCUUUCUCUUCGCAUUCAUUUCGUAUCAAAAUUUAAAAGAAUCUUAAAGUACUGAAUAAAGAGUUGUCAGUGGAUGAACACAGAAGGGAAAAAAACCCCUAUCAUACAAGAAGGAAAGGUAUCAUACAAGAAGGAAAGGUAUCAUGCUUACAAAUCUGAAGCUGUUGCUUUGACAUUGUAUCUUAAGUUGCCCCAAAAGUGAAGCCAGGCCAGCGCCUCCAUCUGCAGCCACUUGCAUAUUCCCACAGGGGUACAAUAUGCAGCUGAUUUCCCGAUUAAGCUUUCCCAGCAAAGAAGUUUUAUAAUUUAAACAGACUCAAAAGUUUGAGAAAGGAAUACAUAUUCAUGAAGGACUAAUAACACUCUGUCUAGAACACAGCUUUGAGCUGAGAGCAGCUCUGACUGGCUCAUGUCUCACCCACCAUACUUAGCGAAAAUGGGAACGAGGAAGAAAUGGCUGAAACCAGCAGAUUGUGUUUUGCCAAGACAAUAAAUAAUAACCAUAUUCUGACUCAAGUGCCAAAUGUAUAGCACUUAAUUAGAGGUCAGUAGAGCAUAUUUCUGCUCAGCUGUUCCAUUUACAGCAAUUAACAUGUUCGUGUCACUUAAACUGGGUUGCAGAGCAGAUUUUUGGUUGAGUGAAAGCAGAAUCAAGGAAGGGCUGUUCCACCUCUGGAGCAGCACCCUUGGCACCCGCCCGCUGGCAAAGGCGUGGGACAGAGAGGUCUCAGCACCGCCCUGCCCCGUCCCUCUGAG